rnacentral:lncRNA from 1 species
GGAACUGUUUGAGACGACACACUCCAGCUGGUUUUUCACCUCUCAUCUUCAUAGUCAACUAUAUGAUCCAAACCAUACUUCAGUAAAGAUCUGUUAAGUCAGUUUGAUGUUCAAUGUUAUAUAGAACAAGUAGCUUUUCAUUUCCCCAAUUCUAAAGCACAUAUUCAUUGAACAUGGACUGUGGUAUAAUAAUAUUCUCUCUUUUUCUGUUGGCUGCUUCAGGACAGAGGCUGCAACAGGACCAGAUAUCAGAGACUAAGAGAGAGAAAGAGAGUGUCACCUUCAGCUGCAAAGUUACUGGUUCGUGUUCAGGUAACAAAGUCUACUGGUACCAGAAGAAAGAGGGUGAAGCCUUCACUUGGAUUAAUUUUGAUGCCAAUUCUGGCAGCAGUGAUACCCCUCAUCCUCAGAGACAAGAUUUCUAUAUUUGGAGGGAGUCUGCGUCUCACCCCAGUGAGCUGAAGAUCCAGUUCGUUAAAGUGUCCCAUUCUGCCACCUAUUACUGUGCCUGUAGGGUCUUAGGAACCCACAGCUCGAAUUUGGCUCUGGCACGACACUUUAUGUGACAGACAGCAAUCAACGAAAACCCAAAGUGACGGUGUACCCAGCGUCCAACUCUGAGUCGAAUGGGAAGACCACCCUGCUAUGUCUGGCUAGAGACAUGUUUCCAGACUUGGUCAAGAUCUCAUGGAAGAUUGAGGAUGCAAACGGCAGAAGAAUGGAGGUGUCCAAAGCAGAGACGGAACAGCUGGAGCAGAGGGAGGAAGGACAGACAACCAGUAUGAUCAUCAUUGAUAAAGAGAAGACGUACAGGAACAAAUACGUCUGUUCUGUGGAGCAUGAAUGGGGCGCUCAACAAUUUGACAUUCCAAAAGAUACUCCACCAACCUGCCCGUUCAGAAAUGACACGCAGGAGCCACUGACUCUGCAGUUUACCGAAGAUUCCUUCCAGUCAACGUGCAGUCUGAACCUGGCCUCUGUGGUUUACACAGUGAUGAUCGUGAAGAGCAUGGUGUACUGCUGUGGGCUCUCUCUCCUGCUGCACCACAGGAUUCUAGGAAGAGGACCCAGCACCUGAAGACCUCUAUGAGGAAAAUCAUUUAUGUGCUUUUUUACAUUGAUACAAUGUUGUUGUUUUUUUACAUUGAUCCAGCUUGCAUGACAUUUUCCUUGCCUAACACAGCCUGCUCAAAUUAACCAAGUUGAUCAAAAUAACCAUAUUAUUUUAGAUGAGGAUGGAUUUAAUUAUCGCUGCCUUUAUGAACAAAAUGUUGCAACAACAAUGGUUCUGUAAAUCAUUGUAAAAUACAUUUUUUACAGUUCCGUGCUGUUUUCUAUGAAUAAAGGUUACUUAAAACCCCCAAAACAUUGCAUCUCUUUACUAUAAGAUCAUCUAUUCAUAUUUAGGAAAAUUUUAUUUAAUUGAAUCUCAUCAGAAGCAGAA